GCACAAAGGACACUCUAGGUAGGUUCCCGAGGACACUAUAGGAUCGUGAGCUCUAACAUUGGUGAAGCUAGGUUGAUCACGAACUUCCAAAGUAACAAAAUAACCAAAAUAAUCAAUUCUCUAGAGAUUGCUUUUGUUCUUUUUAUUUCCCUUCCAUAGGAAUUUAAGAGAAUGUAAUAUGAAUAUGCACAAUUUUUAAUCAAUUCAAUCCAUGUUUAAAAAAUAAAAAUAUUCGAAAAGUACUAUUCUGAAGGAAAAUUUCUCGAAACAACUUUCGAUCAUGUUAGUAAACGUGUUUUCAGUAGUAUUUAAAAAAAAAAAAAAAGAAUCAAAUUCAGUUUCAGUGCUGAAUUUGAGCUCAUCUUCUGUCCUGCGUCUUGGAUUAGCGCAAACCGUUCUCCACUGUGGCCGACUUCCAAAUCAUUCGAUACUCGUAAUGCAAAUCAAAAUUAGAUUAAAAAAAUGAAGCUUACAACAUUAUGUUUGUGUUGCUCAAUCAUUGAUGGAGGCUGGAGCCUUGUGUUUAGGUCUUCAAAGGGCAGUUGAUUUCUUCGAACGAAGAUGAAGAUUGUCACGGACUGAGAUGCCCAUUUGAACAUGGGGUUUGGCGUUUUACGCUUCCUAAUAGAUUAAUUUUGUGGGUCAUCGUUGGGUUCUGUUGUGAAUUCCAUUCGAAGGAUGGGGUGGGUGCAAGGGCUUUCACACAACGACGUCGUUGUGGUUUCUCCGUUUCUGGCAAGGACAUUGAAAUGAAAGGUUUCAGGGGUUUCAGCAGACGAGGUGUUUUCUGGUGGCAGAUGAAUCUUUUAUGAGGAUGGAAGGCUCUAGGUUUAUCUGUCCAUGUUGAUUAUGAAGACCAGUAUGAUACAGGAAGGGGAGGAUACUGCUCAACAAGUCCAUAAUCACUGUGGAAUUGAGUUCCCAAGAGCUGUUUUCGAGAAGGUUGCCAAAUAAAUCUAAGAAUUUCUCUCUGUUUCUGAGUGAUAAUAUAUGGCUCACGUUUGUUAUUUUACAUAGCAUUUGUACCUUAAAGCACAGAAAGUUGGUGUUAGAGUCUCUAUAGUGUUGUGAAUUUUUUUUGCAGUUGUGUUGAAAUUACAAAUGAAGGGCUUUUCUCCCAGUUCCAUAGUAAUUCUCUUUAGUAGUCUACA